UCGUAGUGUAGCGGUUAACACGCCUGCCUGUCACGCAGGAGAUCGCGGGUUCGAUUCCCGUCGAGACCGCCA
rnacentral:tRNA from 3 species